rnacentral:lncRNA from 1 species
UUUAUUUGUGUCUUAAGGACUGAUAUAUCUAUGUUAUAAUGUGAUUAGGUUAUGUAUUAACUAUAAAUAACAGUAUGAUGUGUUAUGAUAUGUUAUUAUAAUCAAUAGAACAAUCUUAUAAAUGAUAGGUCGUUGAAUUAAGGAUAGAACUAAGUUGUGUAAGCAGCAGACCAGACAAGUAUCCUACCUUUGCAUUUCUUUUAUGCAAUGGACAAAAGUAAGAGAGUUUCAGAAUUAUAUUAUUAUUAUACUAGAUUAUUAAUCCUAUUGUUAUAUAUGUUAUAUCCGAUCAUUGAUUAUCAACAUGGUACUAUAUGGUAAUUCAGAUAUAUAUAUAUAUAUAUAUAUAUAUAUAUAUAUAUAUAUAUAUACCUAUUUAUCCCAGUAUGUAUACGAUAACAAAGAGUCAUAUAAGCUAUUUGACCAGCUAGACACAGAUUUAGAAAUAUCGUUGAAUAUGAUAAAGCCUUUUUGUAUCCAAUCAAAUUGUUUUGGUUCGGAUUCCAGACUAAGUAUGAACAUCCCGAACAUUGGAAAACGUUUAUGCGCCCAAGGCGGACAGAGUGAACGAUAAUAUCGUUCUUGCAUGUAGUAUUGAUCAAUACAUGGCACAUUAGGCAGAUCACCCUCGUGUCCGUAAGUUAUGACGGUUUGCGGAUGAAGUUCUGCUAAACCUUAGCGAAAAUGAAAAACAAUGUUCAUAGUAUGUCACCUUAACCCUAUUUAUAGUCAGUACGUAGUUUCAAAAAAAAAUUAUAGAGAGUUGUUAUGUUAUUAUUAUCGGUCCAGAUUACUUCACAACUUUUGAUUUGUUGUAGAAGGGCAGUACAAAGAAAACAUUUAAUCCUUUCAGCUAAUAUUUAUAAUUGUUAUUACUUGUUGGUCACUCAAAUGCUCAUCCUUGCUUAAUUUAAAUGAUUUCAGUUAAGUAUGAUCGGCCAGAGGGCUUUGCCAAGAACAAAGGGAAAGGAAAGCUACCCGAAUAAGUUUGUGCUAUAUUAUGUAAUAACUAGACUUAAAUAAGAUGAUUAUAUUUAUUAUCUAUCAUGUAAUGAAAUGUUUUAAGGUCGCGUACCUGGGAUUUAGAAAAUUCUGAUAUGUAAAUUAAGUUAGAUACUUAUGAUAAUAUUAUUAUUUCCGCUCAUAGAAAUGGUAUCGUAAUGCACUGAGUUCGGGUUUCAACUAUCUGAAUUUGGGGGCGUUACAAUAGAGAUAGUGAACUCUCAAGAACAACAUUACAUAUCCAUAUUUCCUGAAGCUUUAUCCAACAUUAAGACGAUCGUCACUUAGAGAAG